rnacentral:tRNA from 1 species
GGCUUGUUGGUCUAGUCGUACGAUUCCUGUUUCGGGUACAGGAGGUCCCGGGUUCAAACCCCGGACAAGCCC